UAGCUACUCCCUCCGUUCCGAAUUACUUGUCUUAGAUUUGUCUAGAUACGGAGGUAUCUAGCACUAAAAUGAGUCUAGAUACAUCCGUAUCUAGACAAAUCCAAGACAAGUAAUUCGGAACGGAGGAAGUACAUG
rnacentral:pre_miRNA from 1 species